GAUGAACGCUAGCGGCAGGCUUAAUACAUGCAAGUCGAGGGGCAGCAGGGGUGUAGCAAUACACUUGCUGGCGACCGGCAAACGGGUGCGGAACACGUACGCAACUUACCCUGAACUGGGGGAUAGCCCGGGGAAACCCGGAUUAAUACCCCGUAACACUGUGAGGUGGCAUCACCUUAUAGUUAUAGCUCCGGUGGUUCAGGAUGGGCGUGCGGCUGAUUAGGUAGUUGGUUGGGGUAAUGGCCCACCAAGCCUACGAUCAGUAACUGGUGUGAGAGCACGACCAGUCACACGGGCACUGAGACACGGGCCCGACUCCUACGGGAGGCAGCAGUAAGGAAUAUUGGGCAAUGGAGGCAACUCUGACCCAGCCAUGCCGCGUGGAGGAUGAAGGCCCUCUGGGUUGUAAACUUCUUUUACCUGGGACGAAACCUUUCUUUUCUAAGGGAGUUGACGGUACCAGGGGAAUAAGCACCGGCUAACUCCGUGCCAGCCGCCGCCGUAACAC
rnacentral:rRNA from 1 species